UAAAGGUAGAAAAGCGAACUUCAGCUACGUGGUGAGAAUCGGUUGUACCAAGUAGGAAAGGCUGCUUUCUCGGACGGCGGAAACUGUAUACGACGUCGUUUUAUUUACUACUUCGGCGAACCUGCAGCUCUCUCUACACAACAACAAAAACAAGUCACACCCAAUCAACUACAUACAUCAAACGACGAAUUGAUGAUGAAAAUCGUGACCCGUUUACAAGAAUGGAAUAUGGAUGUGUUUCGCCGAUGCUUUGUUGAACGUGAAUUCGUAGAAAUAACAGGGUAAUGGCGAUGCAUAAAACGAGUCUAUUGUUACGUGUACAUGAAAAGCCAAACAAGAGACACCAUCAAUGAUGAAUAUCGACGAGCGUGCUACAUUGUUACAGAAGUACUGGGUCUAAGAAUUCUACCGUUCCCAUUUACACCGAAGAAGCAAAGAUAGACAUCGAAACGAGACGAAGACUGCAAGUCACUCGACAUCACUGCUGCUGGCUCCUAAAUGUGGUAGAUCACAUCCCCCCUUUUUGUUAGUCGAGAAUUACUCGGGUCGAUGGUUAUCGUAAUCGACAUAUUCUUUGUUCGUUAUUGUUGCAUCUUAUCAGGCUUGUCGUACCAGUUUAAACUAUGUAUAAAAACUCUUCAUUGUUUCAUCUAUCUUGUUUUUUUCCCCACAAAGGUUCACCGAGAGAAAAUCAAUUCAUCAAUUACGAUCAGCAUUCGAUAAUCGGUAAUAACAUUG
rnacentral:lncRNA from 1 species